UUAGGAAUCUUCCGCAAUGGACGGAAGUCUGACGGAGCGACGCCGCUUGGAGGAGGAAGCCCUUCGGGGUGUAAACUCCUGAACUGGGGACGAAAGCCCCGUGUAGGGGGAUGACGGUACCCAGGUAAUAGCGCCGGCCAACUCCGUG
rnacentral:rRNA from 1 species